CCUACGGGAGGCAGCAGUUAGGAAUUUUGCACAAUGGGCGAAAGCCUGAUGCAGCAACGCCGCGUGGACGAUGAAGGCCUUCGGGUCGUAAAGUCCUUUUCAGAGGGAAGACAUCGACGGUACCUCUGGAAUAAGCCACGGCUAACUACGUGCCAGCAGCCGCGGUAAU
rnacentral:rRNA from 1 species